rnacentral:misc_RNA from 1 species
GAUGAAGAACGCAGUGAAAUGCGAUAAAUAAUGUGAAUUGCAGAAUUCAGUGAAUCAUCGAGUCUUUGAACGCACAUUGCGCCCCCUGGUAUUCCGGGGGGCAUGCCUGUCCGAGCGUCAUUGCUGCCCUCAAGCACGGCUUGUGUGUUGGGCCCCCGUCCCCCCCUCCCGGGGGACGGGCCCGAAAGGCAGCGGCGGCACCGCGUCCGGUCCUCGAGCGUAUGGGGCUUUGUCACCCGCUCUGUAGGCCCGGCCGGCGCCUGCCGACCACCAUCAAUCUUUUUUCAGGUUGACCUCGGAUCAGGUAGGGAUACCCGCUGAACUUAAGCAUAUCAAUAAGCGGAGGA